CGCCGCAGCGCCGCGCGGGCGGGGCGGAGAGGCGCGGCGCCGGCGGCGGUGGCGCCGGCGCGGUGCAUGCCGGGAGCUGUCAGGGGCGCCGGCGGCGGUGGGGCUCUUCCGGCGCUGGUCGCUCAGGUAAUGGUUGUACAUGAAUUGCAAGCUGGUCUCUAGUGGGGACUCUGUGGGAGGAUGAACACGGAGGAGCUGGAGCUACUGACUGAUUCCAAAUAUCGAAACUAUGUAGCAGCAGUUGACAAAGCACUGAAGAACUUCGAAUAUUCCAGCGAAUGGGCAGAUUUAAUAUCGGCACUUGGAAAGCUAAACAAGGUACUCCAGAACAAUGCGAAGUACCAGGUAGUACCCAAAAAGCUGACCAUAGGCAAGCGCUUGGCACAAUGCCUUCAUCCUGCUUUGCCGGGUGGAGUUCAUCGGAAGGCACUUGAAACAUAUGAGAUCAUCUUCAAAAUUAUUGGGCCCAAACGUUUGGCGAAAGAUCUUUUCCUAUACAGUUCUGGGCUCUUUCCACUUCUUGCCAAUGCUGCUAUGUCUGUCAAGCCAACGUUAUUGAGUCUGUAUGAGAUUUAUUACCUCCCUUUGGGGAAAACAUUGAAACCAGGUCUGCAAGGGCUGUUAACUGGGAUACUGCCUGGUUUAGAGGAGGGAUCAGAGUAUUAUGAAAGAACAAACACGCUGCUGGAGAAGGUUGCCUCAGCUGUGGAUCAGUCAGCAUUCUACAGUGCUCUCUGGGGUAGUCUUCUCACCAGCCCUGCAGUUCGAUUGCCUGGAAUCACUUAUGUCCUCUCCCAUUUGAACAGGAAGCUUUCAAUGGAAGAUCAACUCUAUAUAAUUGGCAGUGACAUUGAAUUAAUGGUGGAAGCAGUAAGCACAUCAGUGCAAGAUUCCAGUGUGUUAGUACAGAGGAGCACUUUGGACCUUAUCCUUUUUUGUUUUCCUUUCCACAUGAGCCAGGCAACACGUCCAGACAUGAUCAGAAUUUUGUCAGCAGCGCUCCAUGUAGUACUGCGCAGAGAUAUGUCACUCAACAGAAGGCUUUAUGCAUGGCUUCUAGGUUUUGAUAACAAUGGUGCCCUUAUAGGACCUAGAAGUACAAGGCACAGCAAUCCUGAGGAGCAUGCCACUUACUAUUUCAACACAUUUUCUAAGGAAAUGUUAGUCCAGGCAAUGGUUGGAAUAUUACAAGUUAAUGGACAUGGAGAAGAAAGCACAUUAAUGCAAGACUUAAAGCCUUUUCGAAUUCUUAUCAGUUUGCUGGAUAAGCCUGAACUAGGCCCUGCCAUCCUAGAGGAUGUAUUGAUUGAAGUGUUUCGAACAUUAUACACACAGUGCAAAGCAGAACUGGAGCUUCAGGCAGAACCUUCUUUCAACAAAGACCACACACAGCUAAGCAGCAAACUGAGAGAAAAUAAGAGAACAGCAGAACUGAUUAAAACUGCCAAUCUUCUCUUUAAUUCUUUUGAGCCUUAUUAUAUGUGGGAUUACAUUGCUCGUUGGUUUGAAGAAUGUUGCAGGAGGACAUUACAUGCCAGACUUCAAACUGGGCCUGGAGGUGGUAGUGAGCAAUCUGAGUUACCCCUGACAAAUUUCAGCUUGUUAGUGGAUUUUUUAUUGGAUAUAGUUUCUUUGGAGACUUAUAUUGAAAUACAGACAGAACAUUUGCCUCAGCUGUUGCUCAGAAUGAUUUCUGCAUUGACGAGUCAUCUUCAUACAUUGCACUUGUCCGAGCUUACUGAUUCUCUCCGACUCUGCUCGAAGAUCCUUAGUAAGGUUCAACCUCCGUUACUGUCUGCAGGUACAGAUGGUAUCCUGCAGCUUCCUAGUGGACACAGCAACUCUAUCAAAGAAUGGGAAGAUAAAAAGGUGCCCUCAAUUUCACUUGACAAUCCUAACGAUGUGUUUGAAGAUGGUGAAAAUCCUCCAAGCAGUCGGUCAUCAGAAAGUGGAUUCACUGAGUUUGUACAAUACCAGGCGGAUACAACUGAUGAUAUUGAUAGAGCGCUGAAUGAAGGUCAUGGUGCACCCAGCAUCCCUAUUAUAGGUAGCACAUCCUCAGAGACUGAGACAGCGUCAACUGUGGGAUCUGAGGAAACCAUUGUACAGCUUCCUUCCCUAAUGACACAGGGGACAGCAACUCGAAGUGGGAAAACAAUCCAAAAGACUGCAAUGCAGUGCUGUUUGGAGUAUGUCCAACAGUUUUUAACCAGAUUUAUCAACUUGUAUAUCAUUCAGAGUAAUUCCUUGUCUCAGCCAUUAGGGACAGAGCUUCCAGUAGACCCCACUAGAGAGCAAGGGCAGACCACAAAAUGGGAUAGAGAAUCACAAGGAGAUGCUAAGGUGAAGAAAACAAACAAGAAAAAGACACCAAAAGAAUACCUUCCUGCCUUUAUUGCUGCUUGUCAGCUGUAUCUUGAAUGUUCGAGUUUUCCCAUUUACAUUGCUGAGGGAAACCGUACUUCAGAAUUACAUGCUGGGAAACCUGAAGUUGACUGUGAACAAGUGCAGCCUCCACUGUGGCUUCAGACUCUAAUGAAUGCUUGCAAACAAGCAAGUGAUUUCAGCAUUCAAGGUGUUACUAUUUCACUUGUGAUGGACUUGGUUGGAUUGACUCAAUCUGUUGCUCUUGUUACUGGAGAAAAUCUGAAUAGUGUGGAAACUGCUCAGCCUCUUAGUCCUAACCAGGGAAGAGUGGCUGUGGUCAUUAGACCUCCUCUUACCCAAGGCAACCUGAGAUACAUGGCUGAAAAGACAGAUUUCUUCAAGCAUAUAGCUUUAACUCUAUGGGACCAGUUGGGCGAUGGAACUCCUCAGCAUCAUCAGAAGAGUGUGGAGCUCUUCUACCAGUUGCACAACCUUGUACCAUCUUCUAGCAUUUGUGAAGAUGUUAUUAGUCAGCAGCUGACUCACAGAGACAAGAAAGUAAGAAUGGAAGCUCAUGCAAAGUUUGCAGUGCUAUGGCAUCUCACCCGUGACCUUCAUAUUAACAAGUCUUCUUCCUUUGGCCGUACCUUUGACAGAUCUUUAUUUAUUAUGCUAGACAGCCUUAAUAGCUUAGAUGGUUCUACAUGGUCAGUGGGACAAGCCUGGCUAAAUCAAGUCCUUCAAAGACAUGAUAUUGCAAGGGUUCUUGAACCUUUGCUCCUACUGCUUCUCCAUCCAAAAACUCAGCGAGUUUCUGUUCAGCGAGUACAGGCUGAAUGUUACUGGACUAAAUCUCCCUGUCACCCUGAGGAAGAAAAUGAAAAGCACUUUAUGCAGAAAUUUAGUUGUGCAGAUGCGUUUUCUCAUGUGCCUUUAAGCCAAGGACAACUUAUACCUAAAGAGAGCAAUGAAAAACAACUUGCUAUGGAUGAAAUGGAGAACUUCAGCCUGACUGUCAACCCUCUGAGUGACAGGCUUUCCUUGUUAAGUACCAGCAGUGAGACUAUUCCAAUGGUUGUGUCUGAUUUUGACCUUCCUGACCAUCAAGUUGAAACGUUGCAGAGUUCUGACUCUGGCUGUUCUCAGUCAUCUAUUGGAGACAACAUCAGUUACGAGGUAGAAACAGAAAGCCUGAGUGCUCAGGAUAGCUCUCAAACUCUGAGAGAAGACUCACCUGAUGAAAUUGUGCAGCAAGUGGUUACUGAUCUAAUAUGCAAAGUUGUAAGUGGUCUUGGAGAAGAAACUGAAUCGGUUGUGCAUAAUCUAAACUCUGAGGAUACUUCAUGCAAAUUCAGUCCACUAGAUAACUCUGAAGAGGUGACUAAAAGUGAAGAUCAGAAUAUUCAAAGUAGCCAGAGUAGUUUGCUCAGUAAUGACAGCUCCCAGUUAUUAUCGGCAUCAACUGAGACUGGACUUGAGAGCUUACAAGAUGAAAUUUCAAGAAAUAAUUCUUCACCUUGUAUUGAUGCAAGUCAGCAGUCUCUCUCUGACCUCACUUUUACUUCCAUGGAAUCAAAGUCUAGAAAGCGAAGCCACAGUAGUAUUCAGUUCAGCUUCAAAGGAAAGCCACCAGAAAAAAUGUCAGAAAAAGAAACAAUUGUUAAAGAGUCUGGCAAGCAACCAGGUGCAAAACCAAAGGUGAAAAUAGCCAAAAAGAAAGAUGAAGAGAAGAAGAAAGCACAAACAGAAAAGCUUAAACAAACCAAUGUCUUCUUUAGUGAUGGUCUUGAUUUAGAAAACUGGUACAGUUGUGGAGAAGGAGAGAUUUCAGAAAUAGAAAGUGAUGUCGGGUCCCCAGGAAUGCGAAGAUCUGCCAACUUUAAUAUCCAUCCAUUGUAUCAACAUGUGCUGCUCUAUCUCCAGCUGUAUGACUCUUCAAGGACACUGUAUGCUUUUUCUGCGAUUAAAGCAAUUCUGAAAACAAAUCCUUCAGCUUUUGUAAGUGCCAUCUCAACCACCAGUGUCAAUAAUGCAUACACUCCUCAGCUCUCCUUGCUCCAGAAUCUUCUAGCCAGGCAUCGAAUAUCUGUUAUGGGCAAAGAUUUCUAUAGUCACAUCCCAGUUGAUUCGAACCAUAACUUUCGGAGUUCUAUGUACAUAGAAAUUCUUAUCUCCUUGUGUUUAUAUUAUAUGCGGAGCCACUAUCCAACUCAUGUUAAAGUAACCUCACAAGAUCUAAUAGGAAACCGUAAUAUGCAAAUGAUGAGUAUAGAAAUUUUGACACUUCUUUUUGCUGAGUUGGCAAAAGUCAUAGAAAGCUCUGCAAAGGGCUUUCCUAGUUUUAUUUCGGACAUGUUAUCCAAGUGCAAAGUUCAGAAAGUGAUCCUGCAUUGUCUGCUGUCUUCUAUCUUUAGUGCACAGAAAUGGCACAGUGAAAAGAUAGCUGGAAAAAACAUAGUGGCUGUAGAAGAAGGUUUCUCUGAAGACAGCCUUAUAAACUUCUCUGAAGAUGAAUUUGAUAAUGGCAGUACUCUGCAGUCACAGCUUCUAAAAGUACUGCAGCGGCUGAUUGUCCUGGAACACAGAGUAAUGACUGUGCCUGAGGAAAAUGAAACAGGCUUUGAAUUUGUCAUAACGGACUUGGAGCACAUCGGCCCACAGCAGCCCAUGACGUCCCUUCAGUAUUUACACUCCCAGCCAAUAACCUGUCAAGGCAUGUUUCUCUGUGCGGUGAUAAGAGCUCUGCACCAACACUGUGCCUGUAAAAUGCACCCCCAGUGGAUUGGCCUUAUCACUUCUACUUUGCCUUACAUGGGAAAAAUUCUUCAGAGGGUAGUUGUUUCUGUGACCCUUCAGCUUUGCAGGAAUUUGGAUAAUUUAAUUCAGCAGUAUAAAUAUGAAACAGGAUUAUCUGAUAAUAGGCCUCUCUGGAUGGCAUCAGUCACUCCACCAGAUAUGGUUCUUACUUUAUUGGAAGGUAUCACAACAAUAAUUCAUUACUGCCUCUUAGAUCCAUCUACACAAUAUCAUCAGCUUUUGGUUAAUGUAGAUCAGAAACACUUGAUUGAAGCACGCAAUGGGAUCCUGUCUAUCUUGCAUAUGAUCAUGUCUUCUGUGACUCUGCUAUGGAGCAUCCUUCAUCUUGCAGAUUCUUCAGAGAAAGCAACUGCUGCUGCUGCUUCCAUUACCACUAUUAAUCUUGGAUCAACAAAGAAUUUGAGGCAGCAGAUUCUUGAAUUAUUGGGCCCAAUUUCAAUGAAUCAUGGUGUUCACUUCAUGGCUGCUAUUGCAUUUGUAUGGAAUGAAAGGAGACAAAAUAAAAAUGCUUCUAGAACAAAGGUUAUUCCUGCAGCUGGUGAAGAACAACUUCUGCUAGUAGAGCUAGUUCGCUCUAUCAGUGUAAUGAGAACUGAGACUGUUAUACAAACAGUGAAAGAAGUUUUGAAGCAGCCUCCAGCCAUAGCAAAGGACAAGAAACAUCUUUCACUUGAAGUCUGCAUGUUGCAGUUUUUCUAUGCUUAUACUCAGAGGAUUCCAGUGACCAGCUUAGUAGAUAGUUGGGCAUCACUACUGCUUCUACUAAAGGACUCUAUCCAGGUUGGUCUUCCAGCUCCAGGGCAAUUCCUCAUACUUGGUGUUCUUAAUGAGUUUAUUAUGAAAAAUCCAAGUCUGGAGAAUAAGAAAGAUCAGAGAGAUCUUCAGGAUGUAACGCACAAGAUAGUAGAUGCCAUUGGGGCAAUUGCUGGUUCUUCCUUGGAGCAGACUACUUGGCUAAGACGAAACUUGGAGGUUAAGCCUUCCCCCAAGAUUAUGGUUGAUGGAAACAGCUUGGAAUCUGAUGUUGAAGAUAUGUUGUCUCCAGCAAUGGAAACUUCAAACAUAACUCCAUCAGUUUAUAGUGUCCAUGCAUUAACCUUACUUUCUGAGGUUUUGGCUCAUCUCUUGGAUAUGGUUUUCUACAGUGAUGAAAAAGAGAGAGUUAUUCCUUUGCUUGUAAAUAUUAUGCACUAUGUUGUUCCCUACCUCCGUAAUCACAGUGCUCACAAUGCCUCCAGCUAUCGAGCCUGUGUUCAGUUAUUAAGCAGCCUUAGUGGGUAUCAAUACACAAGGCGAGCGUGGAAAAAGGAAGCAUUUGAUCUCUUUAUGGAUUCCAGUUUCUUCCAAAUGGAUGCUUCUUGUGUUAACCAUUGGAGAGCUAUUAUGGAUAACUUGAUGACACAUGACAAAACCACAUUCAGAGAUUUGAUGACCCGAGUGGCUGUGGCUCAGAGCAGUUCCCUGAAUCUGUUUGCCAAUCGGGACGUGGAGCUGGAGCAGCGCGCGAUGCUCCUGAAGAGACUGGCCUUCGCAAUUUUUAGUAGUGAAAUAGACCAGUACCAGAAAUACCUUCCAGACAUACAAGAAAGGCUGGUAGAAAGUCUUCGUUUGCCACAGGUGCCCACUCUUCAUUCCCAAGUGUUCCUGUUUUUCAGAGUAUUGCUUUUAAGAAUGUCUCCACAGCACCUUACCUCACUUUGGCCUACCAUGAUCACUGAACUGGUACAAGUGUUUUUAUUAAUGGAACAGGAGCUAACUGCUGAUGAAGAUAUUUCCAGGACUUCUGGCCCAUCUGUUGCUGGUCUGGAGACGACGUACACAGGGGGCAAUGGUUUCUCCACAUCCUACAAUAGCCAGAGAUGGCUGAACCUGUACCUGUCUGCUUGCAAAUUUCUGGAUUUAGCCCUAGCUUUACCAUCUGAAAACCUUCCUCAAUUUCAGAUGUAUCGUUGGGCUUUUAUUCCAGAAGCAUCAGAUGAUUCAGGCCUGGAGGUUCGAAGACAGGGCACUCAUCAAAGGGAAUUUAAACCAUAUGUGGUACGUCUAGCAAAACUGCUGCGAAAAAGAGCGAAGGACAAACAGGAGGACUUUAAGACGAUGGUUUUGGAGGGAUUGGAGAUGGCCAAGCAUCAGAUGCUGUUUUUCACUAUAUUGUCCUCUGAACUGAGCUGAACUGAAUCUCAGACCUCUAUACUUCCACUAAGUGAUAAUGAUGAGCAUGCAGUUGCUGUGGCAAAACUGGAAGUGAUGUUUUUUUUCGCAGCAGUAAGGUAGUGCUAAAGCUACUGCAAGUGCAGUUGCAACAGAGCUAGAGUCAAACUCCCAUGCCCUCAGUGCACUUUUAGUAGGUGUGCUUGAUUUAGGCACAAUGUGUCAUUAACCAAUUAAAUAAGCUGGGGAUGCAAAUUCAUCACUGUAACACUAAAAUAUUAAAGCAAUAGUUACCCUGUUAGAGGGCUUGUAAACAAUGAAUGUGAUAGGUAUACCUUUUAAUUAGUUUGCAUUAUGGAAAACAUACUCUGACUAUCAACUGCUGAAAGCAGCUGUUUCGUUACCUGUUUGUGACCACCUAGGGCUAGAAGAGGCAUCUGUCUGGUGUGACUUGGCUGAAGGAGGUGGCUUGCUCUCACAGUUUUUUUCGGCUUUCCUGCUUGAUAGCAGCAAGGCUUUAAGCUUCAAUGAAGCCUCUGCACUAACCCAAACCUGAGUCUGCAUGGCUCAUCUGCCUUGUAGGCUGUCUGGGGAAGGGCUGGUAACCAGGUUAUUGCUAGCAGAAAAGAUGAGUCUUCAUGCUUAGACUAGAGUUGUAGCCUCCCUUCUGGACAUGACCAGGCCACUGCAUGUCAAGAAGUGACACUAAAGGCACACAUUUACUUGUAUCUAGCUCAGCUUUAGAAGUUAGACAAAUGGGGAGCAGCCAGCAGCAAGAGGUAAGUUACGAACAAGGUAAGAAAUAAUAGGGGGAAAAUAUUGUGCUCAGUCCCAUUUAAUCCCUUUUACAAUCAAGAAUGGCUUGGUAUGUCCACACUAACAAAUAAUAAAGUAAUAUUGACUAAAUCAGGUUAGGAACUUUAACUGCAGUUGUAUCCUUUGUUAUACAGGCUGGGGUGGUGUUCCUACUCCACCAGCGAGAUGGUAAACAGCCAGGCUUACUUCAUGGGCAAGGGCAUCAGCAUUCUCCUAUGGAAUAUUAAAAAAGUGCUGGCUGCAAUUCUGACAUGUUGCACAUACAUACUUACUGUGCCGUGUCCAUUUGCCUCAAAGUACACACCAACAUCGAACUCCUGGGCCUUGUGAUGUAGGUGUUUCACUCCUGUUUUGACACAGUGAACAGGUACCUACAACCCAGAGACAUACAGAGAACAUAUACAAUCAGUCACAAGCAGCUGGUAACUGCAGGUGAGGUGACUGCUAAAAAACACAGUAAUUCAGAAAGCGCCAGGAACCUAGCAACCAACCCAGGUGGACUGUUACUAACCAACCUCUGUUUCACAACUACUGAUUCCCCAAAGCUCAAAUUAUCCACUACUUCUGCAGCUUGGAUUUAAAGGAGGUUUUUCAUUUCUUCAAAUGGAAAUAAAGGCUGAUUUAAAAAAAAAAAAUCAGAAAAAAAAUCACACAUAUGUACAUACACACACACACCAUGAAAAUCCCUACUUAUUUAAUGAUUUCAGGGAACAUAACAAUUCUAGCCAAACUGAAAUACUUCAGCUCAGUUUUGCCAACAAAGAGCAAACCACAUUUCAGUAGCAAACAACAUUCAGCCUGUUGCAAAAAAUAAACAGUCUCAAUGUAUCAAAGAGCCUUUACUGACUCACUUCUUUGCAAAGCCAUAAACUUCUGCAAUUCCAGAAGUAACAGAGGAUUUUGUUUAACUUUUGCCUACUUGUUUUUUUUAAACCAGUAAAAUCUGGCUGGAACUUUUUCAUCUUUGCUCCCAUGGGUCUCCUCUACCAAGAAUUUAAUAACUAGUACAGAUUUGAAAGAG